UACGUAGGGGGCAAGCGUUGUCCGGAAUCAUUGGGCGUAAAGCGCAUGUAGGCGGCUUGAUAAGUCUGCUCUGAAAGCCCGGGGCUCAACCCUGGGAGGCGGGUGGAUACUGUCGAGCUCGAGUCCGGAAGAGGCGAGUGGAAUUCCUGGUGUAGCGGUGAAAUGCGCAGAUAUCAGGAGGAACACCAAUGGCGAAGGCAGCACUCUGGGACGUGACUGACGCUGAGACGCGAAAGCGUGGGGAGCAAACAGG
rnacentral:rRNA from 1 species